rnacentral:rRNA from 1 species
GAGUUUGAUCCUGGCUCAGGACGAACGCUGGCGGCGCGCCUAACACAUGCAAGUCGAACGAGCGAGAGAGAGCUUGCUUUCUCGAGCGAGUGGCGAACGGGUGAGUAACGCGUGAGGAACCUGCCUCAAAGAGGGGGACAACAGUUGGAAACGACUGCUAAUACCGCAUAAGCCCACAGCUCGGCAUCGAGCAGAGGGAAAAGGAGCAAUCCGCUUUGAGAUGGCCUCGCGUCCGAUUAGCUAGUUGGUGAGGUAACGGCCCACCAAGGCGACGAUCGGUAGCCGGACUGAGAGGUUGAACGGCCACAUUGGGACUGAGACACGGCCCAGACUCCUACGGGAGGCAGCAGUGGGGAAUAUUGCACAAUGGGGGAAACCCUGAUGCAGCGACGCCGCGUGGAGGAAGAAGGUCUUCGGAUUGUAAACUCCUGUUGUUGAGGAAGAUAAUGACGGUACUCAACAAGGAAGUGACGGCUAACUACGUGCCAGCAGCCGCGGUAAAACGUAGGUCACAAGCGUUGUCCGGAAUUACUGGGUGUAAAGGGAGCGCAGGCGGGAAGACAAGUUGGAAGUGAAAUCUAUGGGCUCAACCCAUAAACUGCUUUCAAAACUGUUUUUCUUGAGUAGUGCAGAGGUAGGCGGAAUUCCCGGUGUAGCGGUGGAAUGCGUAGAUAUCGGGAGGAACACCAGUGGCGAAGGCGGCCUACUGGGCACCAACUGACGCUGAGGCUCGAAAGUGUGGGUAGCAAACAGGAUUAGAUACCCUGGUAGUCCACACCGUAAACGAUGAUUACUAGGUGUUGGAGGAUUGACCCCUUCAGUGCCGCAGUUAACACAAUAAGUAAUCCACCUGGGGAGUACGACCGCAAGGUUGAAACUCAAAGGAAUUGACGGGGGCCCGCACAAGCAGUGGAGUAUGUGGUUUAAUUCGACGCAACGCGAAGAACCUUACCAAGUCUUGACAUCCUGCGACGGACAUAGAAAUAUGUCUUUCCUUCGGGACGCAGAGACAGGUGGUGCAUGGUUGUCGUCAGCUCGUGUCGUGAGAUGUUGGGUUAAGUCCCGCAACGAGCGCAACCCUUACUGUCAGUUACUACGCAAGAGGACUCUGGCAGGACUGCCGUUGACAAAACGGAGGAAGGUGGGGAUGACGUCAAAUCAUCAUGCCCUUUAUGACUUGGGCUACACACGUACUACAAUGGCGUUAAACAAAGAGAAGCAAGACCGCGAGGUGGAGCAAAACUCAGAAACAACGUCCCACCUCGGACUGCAGGCUGCAACUCGCCUGCACGAAGUCGGAAUUGCUAGUAAUCGUGGAUCAGCAUGCCACGGUGAAUACGUUCCCGGACCUUGUACAGACCGCCCGUC